GACGAACGCUGGCGGCGUGCUUAACACAUGCAAGUCGUACGGUAAGGCCCUUUCGGGGGUACACGAGUGGCGAACGGGUGAGUAACACGUGCGUAACCUGCCCACAACUUUGGGAUAACGCUAGGAAACUGGUGCUAAUACUGGAUAUGUGCUCCUUCUGCAUGGUGGGGGUUGGAAAGCUCCGGCGGUUGUUGAUGGACUCGCGGCCUAUCAGCUUGUUGGUGGGGUAGUGGCCUACCAAGGCGGCGACGGGUAGCCGGACUGAGUGGGUGACCGGCCACAUUGGGACUGAGAGAAGGCCCAGGCUGCUACGGGAGGGAGAAGGGGGGAAUAUUGCAGAAUGGGCGCAAGCCGGGUGAAGAAACGCCGCGUGCGGGAUGACGGCCUUAGGGUUGUAAAACGCUUUCAGCAGGGACGAAGCUUGUUGUGACGGUACCUGCAGAAGAAGCACCGGCUAACUACGUG
rnacentral:rRNA from 1 species